GUGGAUAUAGCUCAGUGGUAGAGUGUAUGCUUAGCAUGCGUAACAUCCUGGGUUAAAUCCCUAGUACUGCCA
rnacentral:tRNA from 1 species